CUACGCACUCCUACGGGAGGCAGCAGUGGGGAAUAUUGCACAAUGGGCGCAAGCCUGAUGCAGCCAUGCCGCGUGGGGACGACGGCCUUCGGGUUGUAAACCUCUUUUAGCAGGGAAGAAGCGCAAGUGACGGUACCUGCAGAAAAAGCACCGGCUAACUACGUGCCAGCAGCCGCGGUAAUACGUAGGGUGCAAGCGUUGUCCGGAAUUAUUGGGCGUAAAGAGCUCGUAGGCGGUUUGUCGCGUCUGCUGUGAAAAAUCCCGAGGCUCAACCUCGGACCUGCAGUGGGUACGGGCAAACUAGAGUGCGGUAGGGGAGAUUGGAAUUCCUGGUGUAGCGGUGGAAUGCGCAGAUAUCAGGAGGAACACCAAUGGCGAAGGCAGAUCUCUGGGCCGUAACUGACGCUGAGGAGCGAAAGCGUGGGGAGCGAACAGGAUUAGAUACCCUGGUAG
rnacentral:rRNA from 1 species